CAAUUCUAAAUGGCACGUUGAGUCACGACCAAGUCGCUCUCUUUAAGACGUCUUGUGGCGCAAGCAGACUAUCAACCACGCCAUCCCCAGGAUAAAACAACCCAGAUCUCUAUUAUCGAAUUCUUCGUGCACUGUAAGAACCAAUCUCGAAUACUCCCUGCCAAUUCUCUUCCCACAAUACUGACUACCAGUGUCAGUUCUCGAAAUCCCACAACAUGGUUACCUGUGCCAUUUCUUUACCCACAAUACUGACUACCAGUGUCAGUUCUCGAAAUGUGCAGAAUAUGACUACUUAUGUCAAUUCUUUCCCCAAUACUGACUACCAGCGUCACUUCUCAAAAUUCCCACAAUAUAGCUGUCUGUGCCAUUUCUUAGUGUCACGGAAAGAAAUGGGAGAAGUUUGCUGAAAAUGCAUCGGCGUAGUAUUAGGGAGGAGAAAGAAAAG
rnacentral:lncRNA from 1 species